GUGUAAGCUCUCAGCCUCAGAACCUGAAUACCAGUGUGUGUGGUCUGGGCUGGAUCUAGACGUUAUGUGUGGCUGGGACAGGAGAUGUCCUCCAGGAUCACCAAAACAUCUUUAGAGAAAGAUAGAAAACCUGAUGGAAUGAAGGUCAAGUCCAAACACAGGGAUGGGGAACAGAGUAUUGUUUAUUUCUAGCAUCCUGUAUCCUUCUCCAAGAUGACUACUGUUGUCUACUUCCCUAGCUGGAAUUAGCUUCUUGCCAGACUGCUGUUUCUGAGAAUGCUCCGCCUUCCUUGGGCUGUAGUCUUUUAUUCCAACCACUGCUAAUCAGUGCAUACAUAUCUGCAGAACAUGAAGUAGCUGCUCAACACAUUAACUCCUUGGUGACUGGAGUUGGAGCAUCCUGUUUGCUGGAAGAGCUGCAGUCUCAAGUCCUGCUAAGGGAACAUUAUGAGUUAGCAAUGGCCAUUGCUGGUGGAAGAAGUAUGAAUACACAGACUGACACAAAAUGCCAUCACAAUUAUGCAGAGGUUUCUACAACAGCAAAAAACUUUCAUCUGCAUUAAUCUUGUUCCUGUCCUUUUUCAAGCUGUGGGGUCAGCAUAUUUAACAACUGCAAUGUUAGGAGGUAAUGAAAUUAAUACAUUGAGGCUACUAGGAUAACUCAUGUCUUUUUACAUGAUUAACAUUAUUUCUUUGGCUGAAGGCAUUGGUGCCUCUGUUUUAAGACGUGUCAAAAUAUUUAUCAAUUUUUUGGAGGACUACAUACCUUGUAAAUACUCUUAGACAUGUCUCCACUUUCCAAAAUAAUCAUCAAGGGAAUGAACAUUCAUUAGCUCUGUGUUUACAGUAAGUGGAUCACAAAAUAUUGGCAGGGCCUAGACAUUUGUGUGCCAGCUGACUUGGAAACUUUUGGUGGCUGAACCUUUCAGAGUGAUUGAAGUUAAUGGGAAAUGAUUUCAGGGGCAGCACUCCUGUCUGGGUCUGUUACCAGCUGUAGAAGCAGUAUCUUGCGAAGGUGAAUUAGUCACCAAGUACAGAUAACUUCUCUGUGCCAAUACACUGCCAUCAAUUUGAAGUAUUUUGUAAAGAAAAAUGUCAUCUGAAUUGUGCAAUGAACACAGUGUUUUCUCUCUGCUAAGCUGUUUUCCUGAGACCUUUCAGCACCUUCCAUGCCCACAAAAGACAAACUUGUCUGCCUGGCCUUCAUAGGUACUGUAGGUACAAAACAGUUACUGCUUUCGAACUUAAACAGGUGCAUUAUUCCAGGUAUGUGAGAAAUCUUGCAAACCAACAUUUCCUGGUACACUGGUCUCAACCAAAGGCAUCAUCUUCAUGUGCAGCCUUACAGAAAGGCUCUUUUCUGGGGACUGACCCCCACAGAUCCCCAGCCAUCUCACUCGCCCUCUUCCAGUGAUGCAUUCAUCCUCAACUGAGACUUCUGCUGCAGCUACUGAGAAACACAAGGGAACAGGAGGAAACAUAAGGGCAUGUGAAAUGCCAAGUCUACCUUCCUCCUUCCAGAAGGAUUUCUUACUUCAGUGUUGCUGCAGUGGUGGAUUCAUUCAAAGACUGUAGUUCUCUUGCUCUCCUGACCAGUGUCCUCUGUUUCACCUUAGAAAUGGUUUCCUAUACCAGCCAUUCUUUGGGAGGAAAAACUACCACCUGUAAUCCAGCUGCUGUAGCUAGUCAAUAUACUAUUAUUGCCUGUUCAAGUUAUUUGAUCUUUUUUUCUUCUGACAUCUUCACUCUGAUCCACCUUAUUUUUCACUCCAGUUAACAAUAAUAGGAAUUAGUAAUGGAGAAAUGAGCUCUUUACCCCUUAUACUUUCUUGUGCCUCCCAGGCACAAUACAAACUUGGUAAUUCAGUUGGAACCUUGUGCAGAAGGGCGGAGUUAAAACCUGACUCAGAAGUCCCCAAUUUUAUUUUACUCUAUUUUUUAACAUUUCAUUAUAGCCCCAUAUGAGUAUAUGCCUGAUAGAAAGCAUAAAUGCACAGAGCCAGAUUUUCCUUGGAGGGCUCUAUUCUGCAUGAGGUGUUAAACAGCUGCACAACAACAAUAUCUGCCUGGAGAAAUCCCACUGCAAUAAAUGGAAUUACCUGGAUGGUGUAAAUAAGAGC
rnacentral:lncRNA from 1 species